rnacentral:rRNA from 1 species
CCUACGGGAGACAGCAGUAGGGAAUAUUGCUCAAUGGGGGAAACCCUGAAGCAGCAACGCCGCGUGGAGGAUGAAGGUUUUCGGAUUGUAAACUCCUUUUGUUAGAGAAGAUAAUGACAGUAUCUAACGAAUAAGCACCGGCUAACUCCGUGCCAGCAGCCGCGGUAAUACGGAGGGUGCAAGCGUUACUCGGAAUCACUGGGCGUAAAGAGCGCGUAGGCGGGAUAGCAAGUCAGAUGUGAAAUCCUAUGGCUUAACCAUAGAACUGCAUUUGAAACUGUUAGUCUAGAGUAUGGGAGAGGUAGGUGGAAUUCUUGGUGUAGGGGUAAAAUGCGUAGAGAUCAAGAGGAAUACUCAUUGCGAAGGCGACCUGCUAGAACAUAACUGACGCUGAUGCGCGAAAGCGUGGGGAGCAAACAGGAUUAGAUACCCUUGUAGUC